AGAGUUUGAUCAUGGCUCAGAGCGAACGCUGGCGGCAGGCUUAACACAUGCAAGUCGAGCGGGCGUAGCAAUACGUCAGCGGCAGACGGGUGAGUAACGCGUGGGAACAUACCUUUUGGUUCGGAACAACACAGGGAAACUUGUGCUAAUACCGGAUAAGCCCUUACGGGGAAAGAUUUAUCGCCGAAAGAUUGGCCCGCGUCUGAUUAGCUAGUUGGUGAGGUAACGGCUCACCAAGGCGACGAUCAGUAGCUGGUCUGAGAGGAUGAUCAGCCACAUUGGGACUGAGACACGGCCCAAACUCCUACGGGAGGCAGCAGUGGGGAAUAUUGGACAAUGGGCGCAAGCCUGAUCCAGCCAUGCCGCGUGAGUGAUGAAGGCCCUAGGGUUGUAAAGCUCUUUUGUGCGGGAAGAUAAUGACGGUACCGCAAGAAUAAGCCCCGGCUAACUUCGUGCCAGCAGCCGCGGUAAUACGAAGGGGGCUAGCGUUGCUCGGAAUCACUGGGCGUAAAGGGUGCGUAGGCGGGUCUUUAAGUCAGGGGUGAAAUCCUGGAGCUCAACUCCAGAACUGCCUUUGAUACUGAAGAUCUUGAGUUCGGGAGAGGUGAGUGGAACUGCGAGUGUAGAGGUGAAAUUCGUAGAUAUUCGCAAGAACACCAGUGGCGAAGCGGCUCACUGGCCGAUACUGACGCUGAGGCACGAAAGCGGUGGGGAGCAAACAGGAUUAGAUACCCUGGUAGUCCACGUCGUAACGAUGAUGCAGCGUUAGUGGGAUUACUCACUAGUGGCGCAGCUACGCUUUA
rnacentral:rRNA from 1 species